rnacentral:lncRNA from 1 species
UGCAGAGCACAGAGAAAGGACAUCUGCGAGGAAAGUUCCCUGAUGGCUGUCAACAAAGUGCCACGUCUCUAUGGCUGUGAACGCUGAGCACACGAUUUUAUCGCGCCUAUCAUAUCUUGGUGCAUAAACGCACCUCACCUCGGUCAACCCUUGCUCCGUCUUAUGAGACAGGCUUUAUUAUCCGCAUUUUAUAUGAGGGGAAACUGACGGUGGAGAGAGAAUUAUCUUGCUCAAGGCGACACAGCAGAGCCCACAGGUGGCAGAAUCCCACCCGAGCCCGCUUCGACCCGCGGGGUGGAAACCACGGGCGCCCGCCCGGCUGCGCUUCCAGAGCUGAACUGAGAAGCGAGUCCUCUCCGCCCUGCGGCCACCGCCCAGCCCCGACCCCCGCCCCGGCCCGAUCCUCACUCGCCGCCAGCUCCCCGCGCCCACCCCGGAGUUGGUGGCGCAGAGGCGGGAGGCGGAGGCGGGAGGGCGGGCGCUGGCACCGGGAACGCCCGAGCGCCGGCAGAGAGCGCGGAGAGCGCGACACGUGCGGCCCAGAGCACCGGGGCCACCCGGUCCCCGCAGGCCCGGGACCGCGCCCGCUGGCAGGCGACACGUGGAAGAAUACGGAGUUCUAUACCAGAGUUGAUUGUUGAUGGCACAUACUUUUAGAGGAUGCUCAUUGGCAUUUAUGUUUAUAAUCACGUGGCUGUUGAUUAAAGCAAAAAUAGAUGCGUGCAAGAGAGGCGAUGUGACUGUGAAGCCUUCCCAUGUAAUUUUACUUGGAUCCACUGUCAAUAUUACAUGCUCUUUGAAGCCCAGACAAGGCUGCUUUCACUAUUCCAGACGUAACAAGUUAAUCCUGUACAAGUUUGACAGAAGAAUCAAUUUUCACCAUGGCCACUCCCUCAAUUCUCAAGUCACAGGUCUUCCCCUUGGUACAACCUUGUUUGUCUGCAAACUGGCCUGUAUCAAUAGUGAUGAAAUUCAAAUAUGUGGAGCAGAGAUCUUCGUUGGUGUUGCUCCAGAACAGCCUCAAAAUUUAUCCUGCAUACAGAAGGGAGAACAGGGGACUGUGGCCUGCACCUGGGAAAGAGGACGAGACACCCACUUAUACACUGAGUAUACUCUACAGCUAAGUGGACCAAAAAAUUUAACCUGGCAGAAGCAAUGUAAAGACAUUUAUUGUGACUAUUUGGACUUUGGAAUCAACCUCACCCCUGAAUCACCUGAAUCCAAUUUCACAGCCAAGGUUACUGCUGUCAAUAGUCUUGGAAGCUCCUCUUCACUUCCAUCCACAUUCACAUUCUUGGACAUAGUGAGGCCUCUUCCUCCGUGGGACAUUAGAAUCAAAUUUCAAAAGGCUUCUGUGAGCAGAUGUACCCUUUAUUGGAGAGAUGAGGGACUGGUACUGCUUAAUCGACUCAGAUAUCGGCCCAGUAACAGCAGGCUCUGGAAUAUGGUUAAUGUUACAAAGGCCAAAGGAAGACAUGAUUUGCUGGAUCUGAAACCAUUUACAGAAUAUGAAUUUCAGAUUUCCUCUAAGCUACAUCUUUAUAAGGGAAGUUGGAGUGAUUGGAGUGAAUCAUUGAGAGCACAAACACCAGAAGAAGAGCCUACUGGGAUGUUAGAUGUCUGGUACAUGAAACGGCACAUUGACUACAGUAGACAACAGAUUUCUCUUUUCUGGAAGAAUCUGAGUGUCUCAGAGGCAAGAGGAAAAAUUCUCCACUAUCAGGUGACCUUGCAGGAGCUGACAGGAGGGAAAGCCAUGACACAGAACAUCACAGGACACACCUCCUGGACCACAGUCAUUCCUAGAACCGGAAAUUGGGCUGUGGCUGUGUCUGCAGCAAAUUCAAAAGGCAGUUCUCUGCCCACUCGUAUUAACAUAAUGAACCUGUGUGAGGCAGGGUUGCUGGCUCCUCGCCAGGUCUCUGCAAACUCAGAGGGCAUGGACAACAUUCUGGUGACUUGGCAGCCUCCCAGGAAAGAUCCCUCUGCUGUUCAGGAGUACGUGGUGGAAUGGAGAGAGCUCCAUCCAGGGGGUGACACACAGGUCCCUCUAAACUGGCUACGGAGUCGACCCUACAAUGUGUCUGCUCUGAUUUCAGAGAACAUAAAAUCCUACAUCUGUUAUGAAAUCCGUGUGUAUGCACUCUCAGGGGAUCAAGGAGGAUGCAGCUCCAUCCUGGGUAACUCUAAGCACAAAGAAAUUCCCUACAGAGUCUCCCAAAAUUCACAUCCAAUAAACAGCCUGCAGCCCCGAGUGACAUAUGUCCUGUGGAUGACAGCUCUGACAGCUGCUGGUGAAAGUUCCCACGGAAAUGAGAGGGAAUUUUGUCUGCAAGGGUGUUUGUUCUCCUAGCAGCCCUCAGACCUCAGUGGUGUAGCAGAGAAAUUCCAGAUCCAGCAAAUAGCACUUGCGCUAAGAAAUAUCCCAUUGCAGAGGAGAAGACACAGCUGCCCUUGGACAGGCUCCUGAUAGACUGGCCCACGCCUGAAGAUCCUGAACCGCUGGUCAUCAGUGAAGUCCUUCAUCAAGUGACCCCAGUUUUCAGACAUCCCCCCUGCUCCAACUGGCCACAAAGGGAAAAAGGAAUCCAAGGUCAUCAGGCCUCUGAGAAAGACAUGAUGCACAGUGCCUCAAGCCCACCACCUCCAAGAGCUCUCCAAGCUGAGAGCAGACAACUGGUGGAUCUGUACAAGGUGCUGGAGAGCAGGGGCUCCGACCCAAAGCCCGAAAACCCAGCCUGUCCCUGGACGGUGCUCCCAGCAGGUGACCUUCCCACCCAUGAUGGCUACUUACCCUCCAACAUAGAUGACCUCCCCUCACAUGAGGCACCUCUCGCUGACUCUCUGGAAGAACUGGAGCCUCAGCACAUCUCCCUUUCUGUUUUCCCCUCAAGUUCUCUUCACCCACUCACCUUCUCCUGUGGUGAUAAGCUGACUCUGGAUCAGUUAAAGAUGAGGUGUGACUCCCUCAUGCUCUGAGUGGUGAGGCUUCAAGCCUUAAAGUCAGUGUGCCCUCAACCAGCACAGCCUGCCCCAAUUCCCCCAGCCCCUGCUCCAGCAGCUGUCAUCUCUGGGUGCCACCAUCGGUCUGGCUGCAGCUAGAGGACAGGCAAGCCAGCUCUGGGGGAGUCUUAGGAACUGGGAGUUGGUCUUCACUCAGAUGCCUCAUCUUGCCUUUCCCAGGGCCUUAAAAUUACAUCCUUCACUGUGUGGACCUAGAGACUCCAACUUGAAUUCCUAGUAACUUUCUUGGUAUGCUGGCCAGAAAGGGAAAUGAGGAGGAGAGUAGAAACCACAGCUCUUAGUAGUAAUGGCAUACAGUCUAGAGGACCAUUCAUGCAAUGACUAUUUCUAAAGCACCUGCUACACAGCAGGCUGUACACAGCAGAUCAGUACUGUUCAACAGAACUUCCUGAGAUGAUGGAAAUGUUCUACCUCUGCACUCACUGUCCAGUACAUUAGACACUAGGCACAUUGGCUGUUAAUCACUUGGAAUGUGUUUAGCUUGACUGAGGAAUUAAAUUUUGAUUGUAAAUUUAAAUCGCCACACAUGGCUAGUGGCUACUGUAUUGGAGUGCACAGCUCUAGAUGGCUCCUAGAUUAUUGAGAGCCUUCAAAACAAAUCAACCUAGUUCUAUAGAUGAAGACAUAAAAGACACUGGUAAACACCAAGGUAAAAGGGCCCCCAAGGUGGUCAUGACUGGUCUCAUUUGCAGAAGUCUAAGAAUGUACCUUUUUCUGGCCGGGCGUGGUAGCUCAUGCCUGUAAUCCCAGCACUUUGGGAGGCUGA